AGUCGAGGGGUAUAGUUCUUCGGAACUAGAGACCGGCGCACGGGUGCGUAACGCGUAUGCAAUCUACCUUUUACAGAGGGAUAGCCCAGAGAAAUUUGGAUUAAUACCUCAUAGUAUUAUGAAAUGGCAUCAUUUUAUAAUUAAAGUCACAACGGUAAAAGAUGAGCAUGCGUCCCAUUAGCUAGUUGGUAAGGUAACGGCUUACCAAGGCUACGAUGGGUAGGGGUCCUGAGAGGGAGAUCCCCCACACUGGUACUGAGACACGGACCAGACUCCUACGGGAGGCAGCAGUGAGGAAUAUUGGACAAUGGGCGCAAGCCUGAUCCAGCCAUGCCGCGUGCAGGAUGACGGUCCUAUGGAUUGUAAACUGCUUUUAUACAGGAAGAAACCCUGGUUCGUGAACCAGCUUGACGGUACUGUAAGAAUAAGGAUCGGCUAACUCCGUGCCAGCAGCCGCGGUAAUACGGAGGAUCCAAGCGUUAUCCGGAAUCAUUGGGUUUAAAGGGUCCGUAGGCGGUUUAAUAAGUCAGUGGUGAAAGCCCAUCGCUCAACGGUGGAACGGCCAUUGAUACUGUUAAACUUGAAUUAUUAGGAAGUAACUAGAAUAUGUAGUGUAGCGGUGAAAUGCUUAGAGAUUACAUGGAAUACCAAUUGCGAAGGCAGGUUACUACUAAUAUAUUGACGCUGAUGG
rnacentral:rRNA from 1 species